UAGCGAAAUUCCUUGUCGGGUAAGUUCCGACCUGCACGAAUGGCGUAACGACUUCUCCGCUGUCUCGACCACGAGCUCGGUGAAAUUGCAGUACGAGUAAAGAUGCUCGUUUCGCGCAGCAGGACGGAAAGACCCCGGGACCUUUACUAUAGCUUGGUAUUGGUGUUCGGUACGGCUUGUGUAGGAUAGGUGGGAGACUGUGAACCGGUCACGCUAGUGGGCGGGGAGUCGUUGGUGAAAUACCACUCUGGCCGUGCUGACCAUCUAACCUCGGCCCGUGAUCCGGGCCAGGGACAGUGCCUGGUGGGUAGUUUAACUGGGGCGGUUGCCUCCUAAAGGGUAACGGAGGCGCUCAAAGGUUCCCUCAGCCUGGUCGGCAACCAGGUGGCGAGUGUAAGUGCACAAGGGGGCUUGACUGUGAGACUGACGGGUCGAGCAGGUACGAAAGUAGGAACUAGUGAUCCGGCGGUGGCUUGUGGAAGCGCCGUCGCUCAACGGAUAAAAGGUACCCCGGGGAUAACAGGCUGAUCCUGCCCAAGAGUCCAUAUCGACGGCAUGGUUUGGCACCUCGAUGUCGGCUCGUCGCAUCCUGGGGCUGGAGUAGGUCCCAAGGGUUGGGCUGUUCGCCCAUUAAAGCGGUACGCGAGCUGGGUUCAGAACGUCGUGAGACAGUUCGGUCCCUAUCCGCUGCGCGCGUAGGAGAAUUGAGAAGGGCUGUCCCUAGUACGAGAGGACCGGGACGGACGAACCUCUGGUGUGCCAGUUGUUCCGCCAGGAGCAUGGCUGGUUGGCUACGUUCGGGAGGGAUAACCGCUGAAAGCAUCUAAGCGGGAAGCCUGCUUCAAGAUAAGUUCUCCAUCCAGCCUGUGUGCUGGGUGAGGUCCCCCGCAGACGACGGGGUUGAUAGGCCGGACGUGGACGCCUCGUAAGGGGUGGAGCUGACCGGUACUAAUGGACCGACCGCCUACACCAU
rnacentral:rRNA from 1 species